rnacentral:lncRNA from 1 species
UCUUUCCAACCAGAUUUGUAAUGUAAAUACAAAGGAUUUGCAUUGGCUGCUUGAGCACAAACAAGCCUUGGAAUUCUAUCAACAAGGCCAAGUUCUUGACACAUCUUGAAACCUUUGUAAAAUGCAUAAAUGUUACCAAGAUUUCCUCCAGGAACAAUCACCCAUUCAGGUACUCCCCAAUCAAAUUGCUGUAGAAUUUCAAUAGCUGCUGUUUUUUGUCCUUCAAGUCUCAAACUAUUCAAAGAAUUAGCUAAAUAAAUUGGCAAUUCUGCUGUAACUUCUCUUAUUAACUUCAUACAGCCAUCAAAAUCUGUGUCUAUACUCAACACAAAAGCUCCAUUAGCAAUGGGUUGAACAAGCUGUGCCAUGGAAAUCUUGUUUGCUGGAAGGAAGACAAUGGAAGGAAUCCCUGCAGAAGCACAGUAAGCCGAUAAUGCAGCCGAUGUAUCGCCGGUCGACGCACAACCGACUCCGACAACAGGACGUUUCAAUUUCCUUAACCGAUUCACUUGACUAACCAAAACAGUCAUACCCAAAUCCUUGAAACUCCCAGUAUGGCUAAUCCCACAAUGUUUCACCCAUAAAUCAUUCAUACCCAGAAACUGUUUGCCAAAACGCUCGGCCCAAAACAAGUUCGAGUUACCUUCAAAAGCACUGACGAUAUCGUCAGGAUCGAUCUCCGGUAACACCCAUUCCUUCUUACUCCAAACGCCGGAACCAUAAGGCCACGUAGUUUUCCCCACGCGCGAAUCGAAUAGGUUACGCCAAUACGCGCCGUCAUAUUUCUUCAGUGCCUCCAUGUCGUGUUGAAUGUCGAGCAACCCACCAGAUCGGCUUCGGUAAACGAUCUCGUCCAGAGAGUAGCACUCAGUGGAGUCGGGGCCAGCGUUGAAAGGGACGUACUUGGCCGAGAAGUUGCUCCGAUCUUCUCCGGAGGCAGCACGGUGGCGACGGGCUUCAUCUUUAAUGUUCUCGUCAGCAGAACGGCGGUUCUUGAGAGUUGACAAUGGGGGAGAGCCGUUAGUAGGUGGAGAGGGAGAGGAAUCGGAGGUAGCUUUAGGGAUUCUGAGAAUGGGGUUGCGGAAUUUCGGGGUGGAUUGGAGCUUGGGGUUGCGAGAAGGGAGAGAAAUGGUGGGGUUAAAGAGGGAGGAGGUAGCCAUUGUUGGGAGUGAAGGUUUUUGGGUGAAGAGAUGGAGGAGGCGGCGGCGGUGGUGAUGGCUUUCUUCUUGUGUAAUGGUUGGAAGAGAAACAAACAGGGCUUCGUUGAUUAUUAUUAUAACCUCCACUUUCUUCUAACCUACUGAUUUUAGGGGAAAGAGAAAUUAACAUAU